AGUGAACGCUGGCGGUAGGCCUAACACAUGCAAGUCGAACGGCAGCACAGUAAGAGCUUGCUCUUACGGGUGGCGAGUGGCGGACGGGUGAGGAAUACAUCGGAAUCUACUUUUUCGUGGGGGAUAACGUAGGGAAACUUACGCUAAUACCGCAUACGACCUACGGGUGAAAGCAGGGGAUCUUCGGACCUUGCGCGAUUGAAUGAGCCGAUGUCGGAUUAGCUAGUUGGCGGGGUAAAGGCCCACCAAGGCGACGAUCCGUAGCUGGUCUGAGAGGAUGAUCAGCCACACUGGAACUGAGGCACGGUCCAGACUCCUACGGGAGGCAGCAGUGGGGAAUAUUGGACGAUGGGCGCAAGCCUGAUCCAGCCAUACCGCGUGGGUGAAGAAGGCCUUCGGGUUGUAAAGCCCUUUUGUUGGGAAAGAAAAGCAGCAGGUUAAUACCCCGCUGUUCUGACAGUACCCAAAGAAUAAGCACCGGCUAACUUCGUG
rnacentral:rRNA from 1 species